GUAGUCGGAUUCGCAUCAAUCCACAUGUAUUGGAGUGGAUUGGAGUGAAACUUGAACUAAAUUUCACCCCAAUACACUCCAACACAUGUGGAUUGAGGUGAAUCCGACA
rfam:Sorghum bicolor cultivar BTx623 chromosome 3, whole genome shotgun sequence.